CUUAAUGCAAACAGUGGAUGCCUAGGCAUAAGUUGCUGAUGAAGGACGCGUAAGGCUGCGAUAAGCGCCGGGGAGCUGCCACAAAGCUUUGAUCCGACGAUUUCCAAAUGGGAGAACCCAGUCCCGCUUUGCGGGACUAUUUACACCCCAAGUUUUUCUAUUUAAUAGUAAAUAUUAAGGUGUAGAAAGGUACCUGAGGAACUGAAACAUCUAAGUACUCAGUGGAAAAUAAAUCAAAAGAGAUUGCCUUAGUAGCGGCGAGCGAAACGGCAAGAGCCCAAAUCCCUCAUCAUAUUCUUCGGAAUAUGGUGAGAGGAGGUUGUAGGACCUCAAUGUGGGAGUUUGAAGGGUAGUAGAAAUUGCUGGAAUGCAAUACCAAAGAAAGUAAUAGUCUUGUACACAAAACCCUGAUAACCCCUAGAGGUAUCCUGAGUACCACGGUCGACAUCUCCGUGGGAAUCUGGGGGAACCAUCCUCCAAGGCUAAAUACAACUUAUGACCGAUAGUGAACUAGUACCGUGAGGGAAAGGUGAAAAGAAGGCCGAGAGGGCCAGUGAAAUAGUACCUGAAACUGUUUGCAAACAAACCGGUAAAGCCCCUCACCAUUUCUGUUUAAUAGAUAUACUUAAAUUGUGUUUUAUAUAUAUCUUCUAAAAUCUUUAAAAACUCAAAAGAUUUAUAUUGGUUAUACCAAUAAUUUGAGAAGAAGAUUUGAACAGCAUAAUAAUGGUGAGAAUAAAUCAACCAAAUUUCAGAAACCUUGGAAGCUAAUAUAUUACGAAGCUUUUUUAUCAAAAUCUGACGCGAUGACACGAGAGAAAAAAUUGAAACAUCAUGCGAGAGGAUUAAUUGAAUUAAAAAAAAGAAUAAUUUCAAGUUUAGACGGAAAUGGUGAGGGGUAAUACCGUGCCUAUUGAAGAAUGAGCCAGCGAGUUUUCGUUAUCUGCAAGUCUAACCCCGAGCGGGGGUAGGCGCAGGGAAACCGAGUGUUAAAAGCGCGUUUAAGCAGCUAGCGAAAGACCCGAAACUAGGCGAGCUAACCAUGAGCAGGGUGAACUCCGAUGAAAAUCGGAGGGAGGCCCGAACCCGUGUACGAUGUAAUGUGCUGGGAUGACUUGUGGUUAGAUUGUAAAAUGCUAAUCGAGCCUAGAGAUAGCUGGUUCUCCCCGAAAGGUGUAUAGGCACCGUGCUUUGUAAAAACGCGUCAGGGGUAGAGCUACUGACUGGUCUCGCGAGCGAAAGCCAGCGAGAUCAACCAAACUCCGAAUACUGACGUGGACGCAAAGUAAACAGUCUUAUGGGGCUAAGCUCAUAGGACGAAAGGGAAACAACCCAGACUCUCAGCUAAGGUCUCUAAAUUCAUCUUAAGUUUUAAAGGAAGUCUCAUUCCGCAGACAGCCAGGAGGUUGGCUUAGAAGCAGCCAUCCUUCAAAGAAAGCGUAACAGCUCACUGGUCAAUGGAGUGAGGCGCCUAAAAUUCAUCGAGGAUUAAAGAUGGUACCGAAGCUAGAGAUUCCCGAUUUUAUCGGGAGUGGUAGGGGAGCGUUCCAAUUGCUGUGAAGUUUAAUUGUAAAGUUAGGUGGAGCGAUUGGAAGUGAGAAUGCUGGCAUAAGUAGCGAGCAAGUCCGAUGCGAAUUCGGACCGCCGUAAGCCCAAGGUUUCCCCGGCAACGUUCGUCGUCCGGGGGUUAGUCGGUUCCUAAGGCGAGGCCAAUUGGCGUAGUCGAUGGACAGUCCGUUAAUAUUCGGACACUUGGUAUUGGUUGUUUUAGCUUGAGGAUUAACUGAAUUGGAAGAUUGAAGCCCUUUAUUGAAUUAGGGUGCAAGCUAUUAGUCAGCUUUUGUUGGAAAAUCCGCAAGAGCGUUUAAACGAGUAGUUAUGCAGAGUUCUGAGAGAUCAGGGCAAUUUUGAACCUUUCAGUUUACAAGAAAAGGUUCGCAAGCAAAACCAAUAUUAAGCCGUACCGCAAACCAACACAGGUGGGCAGGUUGAGUAGACUAAGACUGCUGUGAACCGAAGCUCCGGUAAACGGCAGCAGUAACUAUAACUGUUCUACGGUAGCGAAGUUCCUUGUCACUUAAUUAGUGACCCGCACGAAUGGCAUCACGAGCCAGUAACUGUCUUAAACAUCCGCUCGGCGAAAUUGCGAUGGCCGUGAAGACGCGGCCUACACACACCAGGACAAGAAGACCCCGUGAAGCUUUACUGUAGUCUGGCAUUGAUUUGUGCAUUUUAAUUGUCUAGCGCAGGAGGGACCCUGAGAGCAAUCGAAGGGGACAAUGUAACACCUCUCUUUGAAAUGUGGCAAAUCUUACUUACGAGCCUUAUAACAGGUUCAAGGAAAGUGUCAGAUGGGCAGUUUUACUGGGGCAGUACCCUGCUAAAGAGUAAUGCAGGGACACAAAGGUUGGCUUACCACGGAUGGAAAUCGUGGUGAAAGCGUAAAGGUAUAAGCCAGCUUGACUGCGACACGUACUUGUGGAGCAGGUGGGAAACCAGGUCUUAAUGAUCCUCCGAUCCUCAAUGGGUGGGGACGGAGCUUAAUGGAUAAAAGCUACUCCGGGGAUAACAGAGUAGUCGCCUCCGAGAGUCCAUAUCGACGAG
rnacentral:rRNA from 1 species